GUCCUCUCUGNNNNNUUCAAAACGUAUAAAUCUUUCGCCUUUUACUAAAGAUUUCCGUGGAGGGGAACAAGUUAACGAGUCUUUAGGAUAAUUUUUUGUGUGCCCUGCCUAUGUGGCGGGGC
rnacentral:snRNA from 1 species